rnacentral:rRNA from 1 species
UGGGGAAUAUUGCACAAUGGGCGCAAGCCUGAUGCAGCCAUGCCGCGUGUGUGAAGAAGGCCUUCGGGUUGUAAAGCACUUUCAGCGAGGAGGAAGGUGGUGAAGCUUAAUACGCUCAUCAAUUGACGUUACUCGCAGAAGAGGCACCGGCUAACUCCGUGCCAGCAGCCGCGGUAAUACGGAGGGUGCAAGCGUUAAUCGGAAUUACUGGGCGUAAAGCGCACGCAGGCGGUUUGUUAAGUCAGAUGUGAAAUCCCCGGGCUCAACCUGGGAACUGCAUUUGAAACUGGCAAGCUAGAGUCUCGUAGAGGGGGGUAGAAUUCCAGGUGUAGCGGUGAAAUGCGUAGAGAUCUGGAGGAAUACCGGUGGCGAAGGCGGCCCCCUGGACGAAGACUGACGCUCAGGUGCGAAAGCGUGGGGCAGCAAACAGGAUUAGAUACCCUGGUAGUCCACGCUGUAAAACGAUGUCGAUUUUGGAGGUUGUGCCCUUGAGGCGUGGCUUCCGGAGCUAACGCGUUAAAUCGACCGCCUGGGGAGUACGGCCGCAAGGUUAAAACUAAAUGAAUUGAC